rnacentral:misc_RNA from 1 species
UCAAACUUGGUCAUUUAGAGGAAGUAAAAGUCGUAACAAGGUUUCCGUAGGUGAACCUGCGGAAGGAUCAUUACAGAGUAAUGCCCCCCUUAAAGGGGUAGACCUCCUAACCCCAUGUUUACUUUUUUACCUUUGUUGCUUAGACGGUUCGUAAAGUUCCUUUUUUUUAAAGGCUUUCCAUCGGCUUUUUUUUUUAGCUGGUGAGUACCCGUCAAAGGACCUGAAAACUCUGAAAUAUAAGUAUUGUCUGAGUUAAUUUUAAAAUAAUUUUAAAACUUUCAACAACGGAUCUCUUGGUUCUGGCAUCGAUGAAGAACGCAGC